CAGCAACCGCGGUUAUACAAAUAAUGCAAAUAAAAUUUAUUAAUAAUAGUUAAUUUGUUUUAUUUAAUUUUAUUUUAAAUUUUUUAAGUGAAAUUUUAAAUUUAAUUAAUUUAAAAUAAAUGAAGCUAGUAAAUUUUAGUGAUAAACUAGGAUUAGAUACCCUAUUAUUUAAAAAGUAUUUUUUUUUUGUUUGAGUAGUAAUAGUUAUGUUCUUAAAACUUAAAAAAUUUGGCGGUGUUUUAGUCUAUUUAGAGGAACCUGUCCUGUAAUCGAUAAUCCACGUUGGACCUUACUAACUUUUGUUUUCAAUUUGUAUAUCGCCGUUAUCAGAAUAUCUUAAAAAAGAAAAAAUUUUCUUAAUUUAUUAAUAAAAAUGAUGUCAGGUCAAGGUGCAGUUUAUAUUUUAGAAGAGAUGGGUUACAAUAAAAUUAUUUAUACGAAGAAUUUUAUUGAAAAAUAAAUUUAAAGGUGGAUUUAAAAGUAAAGUAAUAAAU
rnacentral:rRNA from 1 species